AUCCAGGGAUGGAAAACGAACCCACAGUGUUCUGCCUACCAGGCAGAUGCCAUGUCCACUAUGCUACCCUGGA
rnacentral:tRNA from 1 species